rnacentral:rRNA from 1 species
GACGAACGCUGGCGGUGUGCUUAACACAUGCAAGUGGUGCGACGAACCAGAGCUUGCUCUGGGGCAAAGCCGCGAACGGGUGAGUAACACGUGGGUAAUCUACCCCGAUGACCGGGACAACCCGAGGAAACUCGGGCUAAUACCGGAUGUGGUGCGGAGACAUAAGUCUCUUCACUAAAGGUAGCUUCGGCUUCCGCAUUGGGAGGGGCCCGCGGCCCAUUAGCUUGUUGGUGGGGUCAAGGCCUACCAAGGCAACGAUGGGUAGCUGGUCUGAGAGGACGAGCAGCCACACUGGGACUGAGACCGGGCCCAGCCUCCGAGGGGAGGAGGAAGUGGGGAAUCUGGCGCAAGGGGCGAAGGCGUGACGCAGCAACACGGGGGGAGGGAAGAAGGCCUGGGGUUGGUAAACCUGUUUCAGGGGGGAGAAAGGUCCUCCGGGGAAGAGCGGAGGGGAUUGACGGUACCUAAAAAAGAAGCCCCGGCAAACUACGUG